rnacentral:lncRNA from 1 species
AUCGAUUGCUGCUACUGUAUUUGCUAACAUUGGAGGCUGUGCACUGUCUCCAUCAGUACUUUCAUCUGCUGCAUUAAAGUAGCGAGUUGGACGUCUGUAGUGAUAACGGGAUGCAAAAAAUUAAGCUCUAUCAUUGAAGGUGGAGGAGGGAGGUCUUUCCGAUGGGAAGAUUGCCUGACGGAGUUGGUGGAGUUAUUUUGAGCUCUUAUUUUCGUUAUGAUUCGAUUUAUUUACCACACUCCCUUACUUGGCACGUCAAUUUGUUGUGGCCAAUUCUCUAGAGUACCUGAUGCU